AUUGAACGCUGGCGGCAUGCCUUACACAUGCAAGUCGAACGGUAACGGGCCUUCGGGUGCCGACGAGUGGCGAACGGGUGAGUAAUGUAUCGGAACGUACCUUUCAGUGGGGGAUAACGUAGCGAAAGUUACGCUAAUACCGCAUAUUCUGUGAGCAGGAAAGCAGGGGAUCGCAAGACCUCGCGCGAUUGGAGCGGCCGAUAUCAGAUUAGCUAGUUGGUGGGGUAAAAGCUCACCAAGGCGACGAUCUGUAGCUGGUCUGAGAGGACGACCAGCCACACUGGAACUGAGACACGGUCCAGACUCCUACGGGAGGCAGCAGUGGGGAAUUUUGGACAAUGGGCGCAAGCCUGAUCCAGCAAUGCCGCGUGCAGGAUGAAGGCCUUCGGGUUGUAAACUGCUUUUGUACGGAACGAAACGGUGAGCUCUAAUAAAGCUUGCUAAUGACGGUACCGUAAGAAUAAGCACCGGCUAACUACGUG
rnacentral:rRNA from 1 species